rnacentral:rRNA from 1 species
GACGAACGCUGGCGGCGUGCUUAACACAUGCAAGUCGAACGGAAAGGCCCUGCUUUUGUGGGGUGCUCGAGUGGCGAACGGGUGAGUAACACGUGAGUAACCUGCCCUUUACUUUGGGAUAACUUCAGGAAACUGGGGCUAAUACCGGAUAGGAGCUCCUGCUGCAUGGUGGGGGGGGGAACGUUUCGGCUGUUGGGUAUGCACGCGCGGCUUAUCAGCGUGGUGGUGGGGUAGGGGUUUACCAAGGCGUUCGGGGGUAGCGGGCCUGAGAGGGUGCCCGGCCACAGUGGGACUGAGAUACGGCCCAGACUCCUACGGGGGGCAGCAGUGGGGAAUAUUGCACAAUGGGCGGAAGCGUGAUGCAGCAGCGCCGCGUGCGGGAUGACGGCCUGCGGGGUGUAAACCGCUUUCGCCUGUGACGGAGCGUGAGUGACGGUAAUGGGUAAAGAAGCACCGGCUAACUACGUG